rnacentral:rRNA from 1 species
GACGAACGCUGGCGGCGUGCUUAACACAUGCAAGUCGAACGGUGAAGCGCCUUCCUUUUUGGUGGGUGUGGAUGAGUGGCGAACGGGUGAGUAACACGUGAGUAACCUGCCCCCUUCUUCUGGAUAACCGCAUGAAAGUGUGGCUAAUACGGGAUAUUCUGGGUCUGUCGCAUGAUGGGUCUGGGAAAGAUAUUGUUUCGGUGGGGGAUGGGCUCGCGGCCUAUCAGCUUGUUGGUGGGGUGAUGGCCUACCAAGGCGGUGACGGGUAGCCGGCCUGAGAGGGUGGACGGUCACACUGGGACUGAGACACGGCCCAGACUCCUACGGGAGGCAGCAGUGGGGAAUAUUGCACAAUGGGCGCAAGCCUGAAGCAGCGACGCCGCGUGAGGGAUGGAGGCCUUCGGGUUGUGAACCUCUUUCGCCAGUGAAGCAGGCCUGCCUCGUUUGUGGGUGGGUUGACGGUAGCUGGAUAAGAGGCGCCGGCUAACUACGUG